UUUUGCACAGUAAUAAGUUGACUCACACAGACUUAAAGCCUGAAAACAUCUUAUUUGUGCAGUCUGACUACACAGAGGCGUAUAAUCCCAAAAUAAAACGUGAUGAACGCACCUUAAUAAAUCCAGAUAUUAAAGUUGUAGACUUUGGUAGUGCAACAUAUGAUGACGAACAUCACAGUACAUUGGUAUCUACAAGACAUUAUAGAGCACCUGAAGUUAUUUUAGGUGAGGUGGUCCCAACCAUGUGAUGUCUGGAGCAUAGGAUGCAUUCUUAUUGAAUACUAUCUUGGGUUUACCGUAUUUCCAACACACGAUAGUAAGGAGCAUUUAGCAAUGAUGGAAAGGAUUCUUGGACCUCUACCAAAACAUAUGAUACAGAAAACCAGGAAACGUAAAUAUUUUCACCACGAUCGAUUAGACUGGGAUGAACACAGUUCUGCCGGCAGAUAUGUUUCAAGACGCUGUAAACCUCUGAAGGAAUUUAUGCUUUCUCAAGAUGUUGAACAUGAGCGUCUCUUUGACCUCAUUCAGAAAAUGUUGGAGUAUGAUCCAGCCAAAAGAAUUACUCUCAGAGAAGCCUUAAAGCAUCCUUUCUUUGACCUUCUGAAGAAAAGUAUAUAGAUCUGUAAUUGGACAGCUCUCUCGAAGAGAUCUUACAGACUGUAUCAGUCUAAUUUUUAAAUUUUAAGUUAUUUUGUACAGCUUUGUAAAUUCUUAACAUUUUUAUAUUGCCAUGUUUAUUUUGUUUGGGUAAUUUGGUUCAUUAAGUACAUAGCUAAGGUAAUGAACAUCUUUUUCAGUAAUUGUAAAGUGAUUUAUUCAGAAUAAAUUUUUU
rnacentral:lncRNA from 1 species